UACGUAGGGCGCAAGCGUUGUCCGGAAUUAUUGGGCGUAAAGAGCUCGUAGGUGGCUUGUCGCGUCUGCCGUGAAAGCCCAUGGCUUAACUGUGGGUCUGCGGUGGAUACGGGCAGGCUGGAGGCUGGUAGGGGCAAGCGGAAUUCCUGGUGUAGCGGUGAAAUGCGCAGAUAUCAGGAGGAACACCAAUGGCGAAGGCAGCUCUCUGGGACGGUACUGACGCUGAGACGCGAAAGCGUGGGGAGCGAACAGG
rnacentral:rRNA from 1 species